rnacentral:rRNA from 1 species
UAAGGAAUCUUCCACAAUGGGGGCAACCCUGAUGGAGCAACACCGCGUGAAGGAUGAAGGCCCUCGGGUCGUAAACUUCUUUUAUAAGUGAGGAAUAUGACGGUAACUUAUGAAUAAGGGUCGGCUAACUACGUGCCAGCAGCCGCGGUCAUACGUAGGACCCAAGCGUUAUCCGGAGUGACUGGGCGUAAAGAGUUGCGUAGGCGGUCUGUAAAGCAAAUAGUGAAAUCUGGUGGCUCAACCAUCAACCCAUUGUUUGAACUCACAGACUCGAGAGUGGUAGAGGUAGCUGGAAUUUCUUGUGUAGGAGUGAAAUCCGUAGAUAUAAGAAGGAACACCAAUGGCGUAGGCAGGCUACUGGACCAUUUCUGACGCUGAGGCACGAAAGCGUGGGGAGCGA